ACACGACUACAUUAGAUACCCCUGUAGUCCAGGGUGUAAACGCUGCGGGCUUGGUGUUGGGGGUCCUUUGAGGGCGCCCAGUGCCGGAGAGAAGUUGUUAAGCCUGCUGCUUGGGGAGUACGUCCGCAAGGAUGAAACUUAAAGGAAUUGGCGGGGGAGCACCGCAACGGGAGGAGCGUGCGGUUCAAUUGGAUUCAACGCCGGACAACUCACCAGGAGCGACGGUUACAUGAAGGCCAGGCUGAUGACCUUGCCUGAUGUUCCG
rnacentral:rRNA from 1 species